rnacentral:rRNA from 1 species
GACGAACGCUGGCGGCGCGCCUAACACAUGCAAGUCGAACGAGCGAGAGAGAGCUUGCUUUCUCGAGCGAGUGGCGAACGGGUGAGUAACGCGUGAGGAACCUGCCUCAAAGAGGGGGACAACAGUUUGGAAACGACUGCUAAUACCGCAUAAGCCCACGGGUCGGCAUCGACCAGAGGGAAAAGGAGCAAUCCGCUUUGAGAUGGCCUCGCGUCCGAUUAGCUAGUUGGUGAGGUAAUGGCCCACCAAGGCGACGAUCGGUAGCCGGACUGAGAGGUUUGAACGGCCACAUUGGGACUGAGACACGGCCCAGACU